AAAUGUUUCACUGCGAGGGAGGUUGCAACAUUGUAGCUACAUUCAACACAGCACUCGCGAUAGCCUGCUGCAUUCAUAUAUACUACUGCUCCCUCUUUGUUUAUAUGGGGAAUUAGCUCAAAUGGUAGAGCGCUCGCUUAGCAUGCGAGAAGUAGCGGGAUCGAUGCCCGCAUUCUCCAAAACUUUUCCCGUCACGCUCUGUGUUGCCAGUGUUGUUACUUUGUUGCGGUAUUUAACGCGGUCAUGGCCAGCCCCCGCGUUAUAGCGGGAGCAUGAUAAAGUAAAGCUUAACUUUCCUUAACUUUUCCUAUUAAUUCUCUAUGGUAAGUCUUAUCGCUAUGGGUGUAAUAUAUUUCUGGCCACUGGUUGGUUUUAUGCUGGUUUUGUGGCGCUGUUCCACACCCCAUAGGCCACUGAAGAAAGGACACUUCCAGUCAGUCUAUACUAUAACGUUAGCUACGUGAAGGAGCGAACAACCAUCACUGUAGACACAGAUCUCAGUUAUUACAGACCGAUCUGGCGUUUCUCCAUCUGGAAAUUACUUCUUACAACACAACUGCAAUUGUUUUCUCUCAUGUAUGUCCAAAAUAGCUAGCUACAAAGCUAACUAGCUAGCCAGCAGAGCAGCACUCGCCAAAAAGACAGGUGUCACUUUUGCUUUUAGAACUUUCUAAUAAUCUCUAAAGUCGUUUUUAUGCGAUCACACUAGCUACAUAUAUUUAGCUAAAAAGACUGUUGAUGAAAUUGAUUGUUUUCUUUGUAGCUAGCAAUCUAGCUUGGUUGUAGGCUGCAGUAGGCUAGUACAGUAACGUUACAGUAGCUAGCUACACCAUUACUGAAUGACAACAAUGUAGCCUGAACACUUCUGUAUAGCUAGUUGGGCUUAGAAAUUGAUAAAUGAACAUAUGGAGAGAUCACAAAUUCAUGCAGCUGUGGUGGUGUCACUUGUUUAGCUAUUUCCCUGCUUUAAAGAGUGAAAAUACUCAAGCCUUUAUCCAUACCAGCAGGACUUCAAUGGGACAACCAGGAGAGGAACGACAUGCAUGACAUUCUGGCUCUCCUCUCUGCUGAGACCGAUCCGGCCCCAACAGCGCAGGCCCAGCUCUAACAGUGGUCCUCUCCCCAGGCUGUCCUGCUCCGCUCCCCUUUGGCACCAGCUCCUGCCACAACAAAAGAGGAUUGCUCUGAAGAGUUCCUGCUGGAUACAGCUCUGCCAAGUACACUUCAGCCAGCCACACCACCACUGCCCUUGAGAGCUUCUCCACUGGGCCCAUCAAGAGAUGAGGUUGCCUCUUCAUCUUGGACCACGGCCGAUGGACAGAGCCCCUUAGAACUGCCAGUGAUGUCCUACUGGCCAAGCACGACGGGGAGGAAGAGAUCCUGAAGUGGGUGGAUCUGCUUUGCUCUUAACACCGGCCCAGAGAAGCUCCUAGAGACGCACAGCUGUGGAUUAUGUUACUGCAGAGAGUGAAGACGGUCAGUGUCCCAGUCACGUCCCCUUCCACCUGCACUUAAACAGCAGAAAGCCUCACCAAUUCAAGGAUGCCAUUUGAGGAUUUUGCUGCUGCUUCCUUCUUUCAAUGGGAGCUGGAGGCCUCGAAGCAGAGGAAGGCAGUGAGGAAGGAGUGAACUGAGGAAAGAGAAAAUCCUCAGAGCAGCUGCCCUCUGGCCAUCUGUACAGGUUCUGACACCAGCCGCUGAAACAAGGCCCAACAGCCCUCACACACAUACCGGCUUUCCUUGAGUGGCAGGAAAAUAUCUACUGCCUAGCCAAAGUGUUUUCCCUGUACCUGGCACAGGGCAUUGGCGGGAGCUCCAACAGUCUGCCUUUUAUGAGACUGAAAAGUAGAGAUGGAUGGUGGACAAGGGGGGGUGACUCUACAGACAUACACACAGAAAUAAAUAGGAGCUGAAAAUCUAUUUCCAUUGAUGGAAGUGGUUUGGACUCUUGUUUGAUUUGUAUUUAUUUCACUGGUACUGUCCAUUCUUUUACCUUACUGCUGUAUAUCACUGUAUAUAUUAUUGUUCAUUGCUAUUUUGUGUAAAUGUUGCACAAAGACCAACAUUUUAUUCUUAUCCCGGUGAAUAUGUCUUGUAUUAUAAACCAAUUUCUAUAGUUAGUGAGUGAAUAAGUUUGUUGUACAAAGGAUUGUGCUCCGACACUAUCAUAACUAUGGCUUUGAUUUCAUUAAAGUAAACCUCAACUGUCACGCCCUGGCUCUGGGACUCUGUUAUGUUGAGCCAGGGUGUGUUGUUUCUAUGUGUUUUGUGU